rnacentral:rRNA from 1 species
UACGUAGGGUGCAAGCGUUGUCCGGAAUUAUUGGGCGUAAAGAGCUCGUAGGCGGUCUGUUGCGUCGGCUGUGAAAACCCGGGGGCUCAACUCCGGGCCUGCAGCCGAUACGGGCAGACUAGAGUUCGGCAGGGGAGACUGGAAUUCCUGGUGUAGCGGUGAAAUGCGCAGAUAUCAGGAGGAACACCGGUGGCGAAGGCGGGUCUCUGGGCCGAUACUGACGUGAGGAGCGAAAGCGUGGGGAGCGAACAGG